UCAGAGCAACCAGUAUGGCAAAGAUGCUGUUUGAGAUGUGUUAGCGCUGACGGGAGAGUCUGUUGGUUAGGUUAGUUAGUGUACGAUUAACUAACCUUCGUUUCGACCUAUAUUUUUGUUGAACUGGUUAGUUGUUUUAGUGCUGUUUUGAUUGUUCGCGUUGUUUUCCUCACCACCUUCUGUUCUGGAUAUUCGUUAGCAUUUUACCUGGCACGAAAUUGUCCGGGUUUUGGAUUUUGAUUGGAACAUUUCUGCUUUCAAUUCUUCCAAAAAUCAGAUUUUUGACAAUAUACUCAUUGAG